CAUGUCCUUUUGAUUAAUAAUUUAAGGUCUAGUCUGCCCACUGAAGAGAAAUUUAAGGGCCGCGGUAUUUUGACCGUGCAAAGGUAGCAUAAUCAUUAGUUUUUUUAUUGAGAACUGGAAUGAAUGGCUGGACGAGGGGGUAGCUGUCUCUGUUUUAAUUUUUUAAAAUUUUAUUUUUAAGUUAAAAAGCUUAAAUUUUUAUAAAAGACGAGAAGACCCUAUAGAGUUUUAUAAUUUUUUUAUGAUUUAUUAUUAAGAAUUUAAUUUUGUUUUAAAGAUUUUAUUUUAUUGGGGUGAUAAAAAGAUAAGUUAAACUCUUUUUUUAUUUUUACAUUAAUAUAUGAUUUUUUGAUCCAAUUUUUUUUGAUUAUAAGAAUAAAUUACCUUAGGGAUAACAGCGUAAUCUUUUUAUAGAGUUCUUAUCAACAAAAGGGAUUGCGACCUCGAUGUUGGAUUAAAGUUAAAUUCUGGUGUAGAAGCUAGAAAUUUUAAGUCUGUUCGACUUUUAAAACUUUACAUGAUCUGAGU
rnacentral:rRNA from 1 species